GACGAACGCUGGCGGCGUGCUUAACACAUGCAAGUCGAACGAAGUGGCGAACGGGUGAGUAACGCGUAUUCAACCUGCCCUUCAGAGGGGGACAACAGUUGGAAACGACUGCUAAUACCGCAUACUGAAGGAGGGGAUUGCGUCUGAUUGGCUGGUUGGAGGGGUAACGGCCCACCAGGGCGAUGAUCAGUAGCCGGUCUGAGAGGGUGAACGGCCACAUUGGGACGGAGACACGGACCAGACUGCUACGGGAGGCAGCAGUGGGGAAGCUUCCGCAAUGGACGAAAGUCUGACGGAGCAACGCCGCGUGAGUGAUGACGGCCUUCGGGUUGUAAAGCUCUGUUAAUCGGGACGCGGUACCGGAAUAGAAAGCCACGGCUAACUACGUGCCAGCAGCCGCGGUAAUAC
rnacentral:rRNA from 1 species